ensembl:snoRNA
ACAGACUGAAAAUGGUCCCUGCUUUCUCAGUGAGUUGGGAUCAGACAACUGUGCCCACAGCAAUCGGGUACAUUUAGCUUAUUGCAAGUACCUUUGAGUGUCUGCGCAAUAAAACCCAUGUACCAACAACG